AUCCAGCUGGCGAGUCCCAAACAGGACGAAACGCGCGUUCUGGAU
rfam:Schistosoma curassoni strain Dakar, Senegal genome assembly, scaffold: SCTD_contig0002620